rnacentral:tRNA from 1 species
AGGGGGUUAGUAUAGUGGUAGUACCGCAGUCUCCAAAACUGCUUGUAAGUGUUCGAUUCACUUACCCCCUGCCA